rnacentral:rRNA from 1 species
UACGUAGGGACCGAGCGUUGUCCGGAAUCAUUGGGCGUAAAGAGCGUGUAGGCGGCCAACUAAGUCCUGCGUGAAAUCUCGGGGCUCAACCCCGAGCGGUCGUGGGAAACUGGUUGGCUAGAGUGCGGGAGAGGAGAGUGGAAUUCCUGGUGUAGCGGUGAAAUGCGCAGAUAUCAGGAAGAACACCCGUGGCGAAGGCGGCUCUCUGGAACGCAACUGACGCUAAGACGCGAAAGCGUGGGGAGCAAACAGG